rnacentral:rRNA from 1 species
UACGGAGGGUGCAAGCGUUAAUCGGAAUUACUGGGCGUAAAGCGCACGCAGGUGGCUGAGUCAGUCGAUUGUGAAAGCCCUGGGCUUAACCUGGGAAUUGCAGUCGAUACUACUCAGCUAGAGUAUGGGAGAGGGCAGUGGAAUUCCCGGUGUAGCGGUGAAAUGCGUAGAUAUCGGGAGGAACAUCAGUGGCGAAGGCGGCUGCCUGGCCCAACACUGACGCUGAGUGAGCGAAAGCCAGGGGAGCAAACGGG